rnacentral:rRNA from 1 species
AUUGAACGCUGGCGGCAGGCUUAACACAUGCAAGUCGAGCGAGCGGCGGACGGGCGAGUAGUUUCGGGGAAACUGCCUGACGUAGGGGUAUAACGGCUGGAAACGGUCGCUAAUACCGCAUAACACCAGAUGUGCCCAGAUGGGAUUAGCGAGUAGGUGGGGUAAAGGCUCACCUAGGCGACGAUCCCUAGCUGGUCUGAGAGGAUGACCAGCCACACUGGAACUGAGACACGGUCCAGACUCCUACGGGAGGCAGCAGUGGGGAAUAUUGGAAAAUGGGCGCAAGCCUGAUGCAGCCAUGCCGCGUGUGUGAAGAAGGCCUUCGGGUUGUAAAGCACUUUCAGCGAGGAGGCGUUACUCGCAGAAGAAGCAACGGCUAACUCCGUGCCAGCAGCCGCGGUAAUAC